rnacentral:rRNA from 1 species
AAGGUAGCAUAAUCAGUUGGCCUAUAAUUGAGGUCUGGUAUGAACGAAUAAUUGGGUAGUAACUGUCUUAAUGUAUUUUUGCAAAUUUAGUAAGCAAGUGAAAAUACUUGCAAAUUAUAAAAGACGAGAAGACCCUAGAAACUUUUUUGUUGGGGCGACAGGAUUACAAUUAAUCUUAUUUUACGAGACGAUAAACAGAAAGAAUAAGUUACUCUAGGGAUAACAGCAUAAGUUUGUGACCUCGAUGUUGGACUAGGUAAAAACUCCUUAGAAGGGAUUUAAUAUGCUCUGUUCGAGCAUAUAACCU